UUCGGCCUGAUACCUACCCUCUCUGCCU
rnacentral:piRNA from 1 species